GAAGGAAGAGGAUGGGAAGAGACACAGAGAGAAGACAGUUAUUUACCAGCACAGGAGGAAGCUCUGAGGCUGGUGCCUGAGUUUGACGUUUACCAUCUCUGAUGAGACCCACUGAAGGCUUUCGGUCAGAAAAACUCUGAUGAUGUUUGCAUCUGAGAAAGACCCCUUGAGAAUUGCAGUGAGCAGGACAGCCUCCAGAACUGGGAGAUGACAGUUGUUG